GUAAAACUUUAAAUCUGGCGCACAUCACUUUGUUCAGUCGCUACGCUAUUGGCUCUUGAUAUGGGCCAAUCAACAUCUCGUGUGUCCCCGGGCGAGCGGCACAAGCUCAUUAGCAUGCAGGUAUCCGGCCAAUGGGCGAAUGUGUUUACCCUCCCCGAGAUGCGAGGCACGAGCUGAUCAGUGCACUGGGAAAGAGAAUUGCUGUUCGGAGAUCCGAGCCUCGAUUCUGUAGUCUAGAAGCCCGAAUCCCGGUGCUUUCAGCAGAUUGAACGACGUACUGCGCAGCUCAAAAUGAAAACCUAUAGGAUGUAACCGUAGGCACACGUUUUUGUCCAAAUGAACGUAAUUUUUGGUCUGUAUUUUUUCCCCUUUAUUUUAUAAUUUCCUAAUUUAUUGCUAUGCAAGGAUUUAACAUACCAAAAAGAUGAUUCGGGGCUACGUUUUUGGCUGGAGAAGCCUUCGACCAACUAAAUGCAAUACUUAGACCUAUAAAGGAUUAUUAUAUGGAUUGCAUUUGAUUAUUUUGGUCUCCCCGCUGGAUUUCGGAUUAUUCACCUUUCGCCAGUAUGGAGGGACGGGAUUUUGCUGCGCCUGCCCACCUCCUGUCGGAGCGGGGCGCGCUGGUACACCGCGCCGCCUCUCGGAUCGCCUCCACCGGCCACAGUUCAGUACAGCAUGGCGGUCAUUUUCCGUCAGGAAAAUACUACCCUUCUCACAUCCCAAUGGCUCCGCAUUCAGGUUGGUAAAAUAUAUAUACGUGUUGUUUCACCAUAGAGUAUUUGGAACACAAUGAAAAUAUAUUAAUCCAUCGAAUUUGUUCCAAAUGUCCCCAAUCCCCCUGCAUGCAUUGCGCCAGAUAAUUAAUUAGCACGUGAGGUUGGCAGCUAAGGGACGUUACUAACGAAUUUUGCACUAAAUAUGUCCAGAAUGAUUUUGCGGUAUAAUUAUGAUUUACACUACAUGAUUUGUUCAUGUUGUUUUAGUGGUUUCAUAAACCCCGGGUUAUAUUAGGCUGCAUCAUGCAUAUGUAAAGCAAGCACAUAUUACACAUCCGUGGUGUUCUAUUACGCGCUGUGGGCUACUGUAAACAAAAUGUCUGCUACUGUACUUGACCAUUUGUUGAUGUUGAGUGGGUGAAUUGUAAUUUGGUUUAAUGGGCCACAUGUAAUAAAUGUAGUAACUUUGUGAAGUCAAUUGUACCCAAUUGUUGCGGCCUAUUUAAAUUAAACCUUGUGGUCUAAUGAAUUAGACAAUUGGUCGUUUUUACCAAAUGCACGGUUUUUUUUACGCAGCUUUCCGGCGUCCUCCCAUUUUUCUUCAAUGACAUGCUGGUGAUUCUGAGUGAUAUUCAUGAGUGUCAUGCUGCUGUGGUUGAUGGCAAGCACACGAACAAAAGCCUGGGCGUUCACUGUUCACGGAAGUGGGUACGGCGACUGAAGGGGGAUCUGAUGUAUGUAACCAUGUAGGCAUAGCCGCGGGAAAAUCCUCCUUCUAUAUCGGGCAUUCGCAGUGCAUGCAUCAGUGACUUAGGUUUCUAUUAUCGAAGUGUACUGCAUGUAAAUAGGCACGUGUGUCAACAUGGAGUGCCUGCGUGCGUGGACUCGUGCGCGCGUGUCUCCACUGAACGACCAACUGUAUUAUAUAGGGACAACCAAAACAUGGGGAAGGUGCAACGUUAGAAGUUUAUAUUCACACCAGUUACAUUUUAGGGUAUGGGAGUAGAUUAUCAAAGUUUGGGGAGACCCCACAGGGCACACACUGGUUGAAUCAACGUUGUUUCAACGUCAUUUCAAGAAAUUAUGUUGAACCAAUGUGGAAUAGAAGUUGAAUUGACAUCUUGUGUCCAGUGGAACAACACCACAAAAUAGUUGGAUUUGGACAUGUCACAUUAAACUGCAUAACAUAUAUAAUUCAUAUAAUAGUUUGUUUUUGUUGUCAUUAAUGCUUCCACAAUUUCCUCAAAUAAUCAUUGUCAUUAGAUGAUAUACCCACAUGCAACUAUAAGGUCAUUGGGGUCACCAUAGAGGACAACAGCACUAUAUUUCUUAUAUGUUACAGGCAGGUGCGGGGUAUGGUUAAAUAAUGAAAUCAUCUAUAGAAGUUAUUGAGUAUUUGAUUCAUAUUUGACAAAGGCUGACUCAUCUUUUCUCCUACUAUUGCCCUGUUUCUGAAUUAUGCUGAGACGUUGCAUUUUGGAGUCCCCCAUAGAGUUGAUUUAAAUAUCCUGUUAUGCUCUUCUAGUGCAGUGUCAUUUGUCGAGAUGACAUCUGAUUAUAGCAAUUACACCAAUUCUUAUACAAAUAUGUUUUUGUUUUUUAUACAUUAUUGGAAUGUACUGCACACACUGUAUACAUUAUAUCAAAAUCAAUAUACAUUUGUUGACAAGGGGCUCACGAUGCCUUUUCCCGUCUGUCUGUCAGGCAUGCAGUCCUGGCCUUUGCAGGAGAUUGUGACGUGGUUAGCUCUUAUAAAGGGCAGCAGGUCUGGGUAUGUCUGUGAAUGCCUGCUGUGAAUGCCUGCUUGGUGCUCUAGGGGUUGUCCUGGCUUCCCACCCAACCACAUAGACAACAGCUACAGUGCAGUGGUUGAAGGGAGGGAGAGUCAUUUGGAAAAAAGGCAAACCAUACUUUUAUAGGUGUAUUAUACUUUUGUCAGUUGAUUUUUACAAUUUGUAAAGUUAUCUAUUGUGUUUUUUCAAUCGCUCAUUGAUAACCAGUUGGUGUGCACCUCAUGUGGAGUUCCUGGCAAAAUCCAUCAUUUGAAAAUGUUAGGCAUUUUUAUAUAAAUGUUAGGCAUUUUUGCCCACUAAAUCCAAUCUCUUCCCAGUAAACUGGGAACAUUCCUAGGACCUUAGCUUAACAUUCUACAUUAAGUUCUAGUUAGCAUUUUUAAUCUAACAUUAGAAUGAUAACACCCCAAAACAUUAGAAUAAUGUUUUUCAUGACAAAAUAUUUUCUUCUUCUUCAGAAAGUGAUUAAAUGAAAUAUCCUUGAAAUGUUCUCCUCAGAUGCACUAAGAUGUUGUGCACAACACCUGUAACAACCACCACAGAACAUUCCCCUGAGGUUGUUGUUAGGUUUCCAGGUAAUCUAAUAACAAAAUGUGUUCUGGGAACGUUCGUGCAACAUCGGGUGAAUGUUUUAUACAAACAUUGUAUAAUCAUCAGCACAACUGGAAAGUUUUUGUGUAUUAGAACUUUUGGGGCAACCUAAUUUUAUUGAAUUGUAUAGUCAUUUAACCCUUAAUGAAUGUUCUGGGAACGUUCACAGAACCAAUUUCGGUUUGCUGGGUUAUUCGUCAAACGACUCAAUCUAAUUGAUUUUGAUGUAAGGUUGUUGGAAAGAAUAGACAGUUGUAGACCCAUUUAGAAACACCAUCGGAAUUACCCAACGUUUUUGAACAGGUGCAUUAAGACAUUCUUGCAAUAAAUCACAAAAUCAUGGCAAUUACAUAACGUUAAAGAUGGUCAGCUUUACUAUUCAUUGAUUUCACUGACACCAGAUCAUUUUAAAGUCUAUUCACAAAUCCAUUGAUUUGUUACUGUAGGUUUUUUUGUUGUUGGCUUGAUUUAGUCUUCUGUUACCAGAAAUCAUCCUUUGGAUGAGAAUUUGAGUAUAAUUCAGGAAUUUGUGUAAAAAAAAAAAAAAAAAAUGUGAUUUAGAAAA